UGGUGGGUAUAGCUCAGUUGGUUAGAGCGCCAGAUUGUGGCUCUGGAGGUCGUGAGUUCGACUCUCAUUCCAGCCAA
rnacentral:tRNA from 1 species